UUUCAUUUUUCUCAUUUUCAUGUUGGAAAUUGUUUACACCCUACAUACAUACGUACACUAACUUACAUAGUGGUACAAUGUGUUUGAUGUUGCAUAACCUUAUUAUUUUUUUUUUUUUCCAUUUCAGACCCCUUUGAUAGUGACAGUGACCCAGAUGACCCUGAGCCUUUCCAUGGUUUUGAUGCCUCGCCCUAUACAUCAGAUGUAGAUGUUCCCUCAUCAGUUGAUACGAGUAUCACCUCUCCAGAGCCCAAAUCAGUUGAUACGAGUAGUAUCACCUCUCCCAUUCCUUCAGACUCCCAAGCACCUGCCCAUCCCACUCCAUAGCCCAGCCACCCACUCUCAUGUACCAUAUGGCCAUCCCAGUAAGCAAGCCAACCACUAGAAUUUGACUGGCAUGCACCUGUGACUUACAUAAACCAGACCUCUACAUAGCCUACAUGUCUUCAUUUUGCUGAAGACUGCCCAUCAUCCUAGCCUGUUAUCUGUGAUAAAGCACACUGAAGUUAGGUUUGGAAUGCAUCCUUAUCAUGAAUGCUCUACACCUCCACCUCCAUCUCCCACAACCUAGGUAACAGCUUUGAGACUCACUAAAAGUUGAACCCCCUGAAUGAUGUAGGCUAUGGGGCCACAUAAGACUUUGUCCAUCCAGGGUUACAUUGAAUGCCAAAUAUAAACUAAAGAACCAACAUUUUUCACACAACUCCAGGUUGUUACUACAAGUGUCAUCAAGGGAUAACUACUACAAGUAGAAGCACCAUUUUUGGAUGGAAAAAACCCUUCAGGAAAGUAUACGUAUCACAUGUAACAUGUAGUGUAACAAAGUAUGAACAGUAAGGUUUUUACAUACAGUAGUACAUAUUACAUACGUACAUAACUUUUUUUUACAGGAAUUUCCAACCAAGUUUGAUUAUGUACAUAUGUACAUGUUAAUAAACCGACUGUACGUAUGGUUACUGUAUGUAACUUACUAAACAUACAUAACAUGACUUAACUUUGAUACUUUUUUGGUACAUUCCAGAAAACCAGGACCCCCUCCAUGAUGCAGGCUAUGGGGCCACAUAAAACUUUGUCCAGGGUUACUACAUAACAUAAAGAACCCCCUGAAUGAUGUAGGCUAUGGGGCCACAUAAGACUUUGUCCAUCCAGGGUUACGAUGAAUGCCAAAUUUAAACUAAAGAACCCCCUGAAUGAUGUAGGCUAUGGGGCCACAUAAGACUUUGUCCAUCCAGGGUUACGAUGAAUGCCAAAUUUAAACUAAAGAGCUACCAGACUGGGAUUUUAGUGUACUCCAGGAUCUAACAAAUACAUACGUACUACUACGAAGUGUGCAGUGCAUAAUAUAUAGUGUUUAGUGUAUAAUCUAACCUAAGGAUUAAGUGUAGUACAUUGUGCUUUUUAGUGUCACAAGAGUUUAAUAAAGAAUUAUACCUUCAAGAACCAUCCUUUGCCAUUGGAAUAACCACACUACACAUCAUGCAAUCUACUUGCAUGUCACACAGGUAAGGUCUCUAACUUUUUCUUAGUUUAAGGCAUAUUUCCAAGUGUCGUUCCGGCUUACGACGAUUUUCGGCUUACGACGCGCCUCAAGAACGGAACCCCCGUCGUAACCCGGGGAC